rnacentral:misc_RNA from 1 species
GAUGAAGAACGUAGCGAAAUGCGAUACUUGGUGUGAAUUGCAGAAUCCCGUGAACCAUCGAGUCUUUGAACGCAAGUUGCGCCCGAAGCCAUUAGGCCGAGGGCACGCCUGCCUGGGCGUCACACGUCGUUGCCCCCCCAUCUACUCCUGCGGGAUUGCGGGGGGCGGAUGAUGGCCUCCCGUGCGCCUCGUCGCGCGGUUGGCAUAAAUGCCAAGUCCUCGGCGACGCACGCCACGACAAUCGGUGGUUGCGAAACCUCGGUUGCCCGUCGUGUGCGGUCGUCGCGCAUCGAGGGCUCGAAAAAAUUGCCGGGCUCCGGCUCGGCUUUCAACGCGACCCCAGGUCAGGCGGGGUUACCCGCUGAAUUUAAGCAUAUCAAUAAGCGGAGGA